rnacentral:tRNA from 1 species
GGCCCGGUAGCUCAGAUGCAUAGAGCAGCGCACUCCUAACGCGAAGGUCGGCAGUUGGACUCUGCCCCGGGCCACCA